rfam:Cavia porcellus supercont2_47 genomic scaffold, whole genome shotgun sequence.
GGGGAUUUAGCUCAGUGGCAUAAGCACCUGCCUGGUAAGCAUGGGGUCAUGAGUUCAAUCCCCAUAUACCCUC